UGCGCCUUGGAUUGAAUCUACAGGGCAGUGAAACACACAGUUGUAGGAAGCAAGUGUGUCAUAUAGCAUUGCUGUUAUAAUAUCACACACAGAAUGUAUGGGAGUAACUAUCCACAACCUGGUGGCAUGGCAGGUGACAUGGCAUAUCCACCAAGUUCUGGCCCCCCUCCACCCCCUGGCAGAGGAAUGAUGGGUGCUCCAUUUGGAGGCAUGGGUGGCAUGGGAGGCAUGGGAGGCAUGGGCGGCAUGGGAG